GAUGAAUCUCAUUAUAGGAAGAAUAACAGAAAAAAAAAAAAAAAAAUCUUGUGGAUUGAGUGCAAGAACUGGUUUAUUUCCAUAAGAUGCAGACGAGGGACAAGGGGAAUUAGGGCUCAAGGGGAAACAAAGAUAACAUUGCCACCCAUUAUUCUUUUAUUAUCUCUUUAUCCUUCUUGAGCUCUAAUUUCCCUUCUCCCUCGUCUGCAUCUUCAAUUCCAGAAAAAAAAGAUUAUUGAGCUUUUCCAGAAAUGCCAUAUGGAUCAUCCUCUUGGGAAGUUUUUUGGUGGAUGCACGGAGCUUGAUAAACGUUUCCGGCAAGAGGUACGUCGGAGAUGAGGUACGAGGGGGAGCGUAAACGGAUCAAUGACAACGAAAGGGUCGAGCGAAUUCAAGAGAUGGAUUUUGAAUUCAAAUGGAUGGAAAGAGAGAUUUUAAAUGGAGCCUGAAGAGAGUGAGAGGCCUAUGAGGUAACAUAAAAACUCCUGUGAAACCGGUUUUAUGGUAAAACCGCCUUCAUAAUGAUACUACUUCAACAUACAAAUGAUACUUUAUAAAACCGAUUUUACAUGAGACCACCUCAUGAGGUAAAACGGGAGGGAGUAACUGUUUUCUUUGAACCAACGAGGAGUCGUUUCCUCUCUCUAGGACUCGAGCUCGUUGCGAAGGAGGUGGACGCGACGGGGCUGCUUAGCAAUCUUAAGCUUGUUGGUGAUGUGUUGGAGCAAGGCGAAGCUAGCAUCAAUGCACAAGGCCCAGCAUUUAGGUGAAAGGAAGAAUAGCUAUUUUCUAAGCUCUUGUGUUUGUGUCAAUGCAAUGGAAUUUUCAUUUUCUUUUUUAGAGUGUAUAUUGUAUGUUUAUAUUUGUGUAUAUUUACAUGUAUAUAUAUAUAUGUGUUUGAACAACUAUUUAUUGUAAAGAAAGAAAGAAAGAAUAAUAGAAAAGAGAAGAAAUUCUUAUGGAAAUUUCAAGGAAAUGAAUAUGGUAGGUAGCCCAGAAUAGAUUUUGACUACAUUUGGUCUUAUAUUUGUAAUGUGAAAUGUGGAAUGUCUUUGGACUUUGGCAAACAUAUACAAAUUCUAUUUGACUA